rnacentral:rRNA from 1 species
CAAUAGCGUAUAUUAAAGUUGUUGCAGUUAAAAAGCUCGUAGUUGGAUUUGUGGAGUGUGCUGUGGCGUCCAUUUGUUUGGUUCUGCCGUGGCCGUUCCAUCCUUGGGUGGAUUCUGUGUGGCAUUAGGUUGUCGUGCAGAGGAUGCCCAUCGUUUACUGUGAAAAAAUUAGAGUGUUCAAAGCAGGCUUAUGCCGUUGAAUAUAUUAGCAUGGAAUAAUAAGAUAGGUCUUGGGUCCUAUUUUGUUGGUUUGCGGGCCCUAGAAAUGAUUAAUAGGGACAGUUGGGGGUAUUCGUAUUCCAUUGUCAGAGGUGAAAUUCUUGGAUUUCUGGAAGACGAACUACUGCGAAAGCAUUUACCAAGGAUGUUUUCAUUAA